rnacentral:rRNA from 1 species
CAGCAGUAGCCGCGGUAAUACGAAGGGUGCAAGCGUUACUCGGAAUUACUGGGCGUAAAGCGUGCGUAGGUGGUGGUUUAAGUCCGUUGUGAAAGCCCUGGGCUCAACCUGGGAAUUGCAGUGGAUACUGGGUCACUAGAGUGUGGUAGAGGAUAGUGGAAUUUCCGGUGUAGCAGUGAAAUGCGUAGAGAUCGGAAGGAACAUCUGUGGCGAAGGCGACUAUCUGGGCCAACACUGACACUGAGGCACGAAAGCGUGGGGAGCAAACAGGAUUAGAUACCCCCGUAGUCCCUGUCUCUUAUAC